UCCAUCGGGCUCCGCCCAAGCUUUGUUCCCACUUCUCUGGCCUUUGGGUCUGCGGCCAUUUCUUAACAGACUGUGAAGCGGAUAGCUGACAGUGGUGGUCACUCUACCGAUCUCUGGAUUUAUGAAAGCUGACCGGCCCCAAGAACCGCAUCCCCUGGAAACUAGAGGACACAAUGCAUGACUGACACCAGGACCUGAAGCCAUGAUCACUUGCUCCCUGCCUUAGGCAUGAGGCCCCAGAUGCCAGCCUCAGCUCUCAUAGCAACCAUGAUUAAUUAUUUUUUUAACUUAUAUUAACCUCUUGGGUACCAAUUUAUUUGAAAAAAAAUUUGCAUAUAGAACAGAUUUAGUGUUUUGGUACUUGGAGUAAUAUGUAAAAGCAGUAGAUUUUAUGUAAAAAUGCAUUUAUUUCUAAAAAAAUCUGACAUACAUAGUAUUGAGAUGACUUCAGGUAAUUAGAAUCACAAAACAAAAAUAAAUAAAUAAACAAACACAAAACUAAAACAAAUUCAAGGUAUAACAAAAAGCAAAUUACUAAUAAUUAUGAAGACUAUGGUAUUUUUCAACGCAAGUAGGUAAAUGCAGUGGCACUUGGCAUUGUUUGUACUGCCAGGUAGUCUCUUUCGUAAUUUUAUGUUUAUAACAAACAUGGCACCUUUUUGUAGGGUGUUGCUUGGGCUUAGUUGAUGGAAUAUUCUCAGGAAAGUGUGCCCAAUUUUUCACCUGCAAACAAAAAGGUGUAUUGCUAUUUGAAGAACGUCCACGACAGUUAUAAUUUGGCAAUGACACUUACUCCAAUAGUUGUUCAGCAAUAGCUAGACGAAAGCAAACAAUGCCUGUUUCGGUUGUGCAGUUGAUUUUACAAUAUAAAACGUGCACUAUAAAAGACUGUCUAUUAGAUAAAAAAGCAUUUAUUUAUAUCCCUUUACACAUUUUCUCAUAACAGGGAAGCAUGCUACCAUUUGAUCCUGUUUAUCAACGCCCCCCCAUACCUUUAUUAUACUCAAGCACACAUGCUGGUUUAUAAUAUUUUUGAUAUCGCCACCUUGCUUAUUUCUCUUUUUGCCUGUGUCUGUCAAGUCAGCAUUUGACUGUUUCAUUCUAAGUAUGUGAGCGUCUUUUUUAUCUUUCCAUCUCAGCAAAUAAACUGUGACUGGAUAAAGUUUUGACUUUUCCCUUUUUCAACUUAAAUGAACAAGAAUGUACAUGUUAAACAUUGUCUUAAAUUGAAAGAUGAGUUAGACUUGUCAUCUUGCACUUAGGCAAAGCAAUAGCAUGAUGAGUCUCAGUUGUCAAAUGUGCCGAAGGGGCAAAUAUAAUGUAAUCGCUAGAGGCUAUCAGUGAGCCAGGUUUUUGAGAGCAGUAGCUCACUUCUGUCUCUGGACUAGGCACCAACUCCUUAAAUAAACCUUUACUUUCUUUGCUG